rnacentral:rRNA from 1 species
AACGAACGCUGGCGGCAUGCCUAACACAUGCAAGUCGAACGAGACCUUCUGGUCUAGGUGCGCACGGGUUCGUCACGCGUGGGAACCUUCCCUUAGGUUCGGAAUAACUCCCCGAAAGGGGUGCUAAUACCGGAUAAUGUCUUCGGACCAAAGAUUUAUCGCCUUUGGAUGGUCCCGCUUUGGAUUAGCUAGUUGGUAGGGUAAAAGCCUACCAAGGCUACGAUCCAUAGCUGGUCUGAGAGGAUGAUCAGCCACACUGGGACUGAGAAACGGCCCAGACUCCUACGGGAGGCAGCAGUAGGGAAUAGUGGAAAAUGGGCGAAAGCCUGAUCCAGCAAUGCCGCGUGAGUGAUGAAGGCCUUAGGGUUGUAAAGCUCUUUUACCCGGGAUGAUAAUGACAGUACCGGGAGAAUAAGCUCCGGCUAACUACGUG